CCUACGGGUGACAGCAGUGAGGAAUAUUGGUCAAUGGACGAGAGUCUGAACCAGCCAAGUAGCGUGAAGGAUGACUGCCCUAUGGGUUGUAAACUUCUUUUAUAUGGGAAUAAAAUGUUCCACGUGUGGGAUUUUGUAUGUACCAUAUGAAUAAGGCUCGGCUAACUCCUUGCCAGCAGCCUCGGUAAUACGGAGUAUCCGAGCGUGAUACGGAUUUAUUGGGUUUAAAGGGAGCGUAGGUGGAUUGUUAAGUCAGUUGUGAAAGUUUGCGGCUCAACCGUAAAAGUGAAGUUUAAACUUGCAGUUUUGAGUACAGUAGAGGUGGGCGGAAUUCGUGGUGUAGCGGUGAAAUGCUUAGAUAUCACGAAGAACUCCGAUUGCGAAGGCAGCGCACUGGACUGCAACUGACACUGAGGCUCGAAAGUGUGGGUAUCAAACAGGAUUAGAGACCCCUGUAGUC
rnacentral:rRNA from 1 species